rnacentral:rRNA from 1 species
GAUGAACGCUAGCGGCAGGCUUAAUACAUGCAAGUCGUGGGGCAGCAGGACUGUAGCAAUACAGUUGCUGGCGACCGGCAAACGGGUGCGGAACACGUACGCAACUUACCCUGAACUGGGGGAUAGCCCGGGGAAACCCGGAUUAAUACCCCGUAAUAUAAUGGAGUGGCAUCACUUUAUUAUUAAAGCUCCGGCGGUUCGGGCUGGGCGUGCGGCUGGUUAGGUAGUUGGUUGAGGUAACGGCUCACCAAGCCUACGAUCAGUAACUGGUGUGAGAGCACGACCACUCAGACGGGGACUGGGACACGGGCCAGACUCCUACGGGAGGCAGCAGUAAGGGAGAUAGGGCAGUGGAGGCUACUCUGACCCAGCCAUGCCGGGUGGAGGAUGAAGGCCCUCUGGGUUGUAAACUUCGUUUAUAGGGGACGAAACCUGUGUAUUCUUACGCAGUUGACGGUACCCGAGGAAUAAGCACCGGCUAACUCCGUG